rnacentral:tRNA from 1 species
GCGCGGAUGGCGGAAUUGGCAGACGCGCUAGAUUCAGGGUCUAGUAGGGAAACCUGUGCGGGUUCAACUCCCGCUCCGCGCA